UGACUACUUGCACCAAAAGAAGUAAUUUUCAAAUAAAUAAAGAUCAUGAAGGAACACGGGACGACUUUUUUUCUGUCUCACGGAACUUAGCUGCUUAAGGUUCCCAUUGCACUGAACUGAAUGGUGCUGUACAGUUUUUUCUCGUUAAUGCCAUCAUCAAUACUCAGAUCACUUUCUUAAGAAGAAUUAUUCACACUGCUGCCACCUAAAUUAAUGCAGCAUUUCCAGAAUACAUUUGACUGGUAUAUAUGUAAUCAGAAAUAAACAUUUUUGGACUUCUACCCUGGAUCUAUGAGAACCAGAGUAAUAUUAAAAAUGACAUGGUGAUUUAUUCAUGUUUCUUGAUUAACUUUUUACCAUCAAAUUUGUGACAGCUAAAAACUCUUUCAGUUUUGAUGAUGAUUAAUCCAUAUGAUGUGGCAGAUAUCCAAUAAGUAUGAUACUGUGAGUUUUUCUUGAUUUUCCUGUAUCUACAAAAUUGUGUUUAUUCACUUUUCCUGUAUUAUGUGUCAAUGUCUUCCAAAUUUUUAUUUUCUCUCAUGUCCUUAUUCUUUCCAGAAAUAAUUCUUGUGAAGCAGCAUCCUCAUAUAAUUCAUUGACAUUACAGUUCUUGAUAGAGUUGUGUUUCUUGUCACAUCUCUUAUUACUUAAAUCCUAUAUUAAUUUCUUUGUAAGACUCUGGACAGAAACAGAAGUGUGACAUUUGACAGCAAAGACCAUAGUCUUAUGUAAUAGUAGACAACAGUAGUAGUCUGUUCAGCACAAUCAUUAAUUGUUCAGGUAUUCAUUCUAUUCAAACAUAUGAUUUUUUUUUUUUUUUUGAAAAAAAAAGUGAUUGAUCAUAGCCAUUGAUAAAAACCUUAUACGGAUCCUUAUAUUAAAAAUUCCCCUGUGAGUUGGUCAGAUUUCUGCUCCAGAAGUCUGCAAGGGAAAAUGUAAGAUAUCUUGGACUCUUUUUUAUUAUUAUUAUUUAGCUAUAUUGUUAUGUACAUGCAUUACAUUACACACUUGUUUGGAAAUAUUUAGCUAGUAAACAAUGUCCAUACCAGAUUCUGGGUAUACUAAACAAUAAGAGUUGUUUAGUGUAAGAACUGGGGGCCCAAAGCCUGGACACAGAACUCUAGAUGGGACCCUCACUAAGGCAGAGUAGAGGGGUAUGGUUACCUCCCUUACCUUACUGGUCACUCCUCUUUUGACACAGUCCACAGUAUGGUUAGCCUUCUGGCCUACAAGCACACACUGUUGGCUCAUAUACAGAACCUCCAAGUAUUUCUCAGAGGACUGCUCACACCGAGUUCUCCCUAUCUAUUUAGAUGUCUGGGAUUGCCUUGACCCAGAUGUUGUACCUUGCAAUUGGCUUUGUUGAAGCUCAUUAGACUCACAUGGGCGUUCUCAAGCUUGUCCAGGUCUCUGUCUCCCUUUCUACACUUUUAUAAACAUAUAUUAUUAUGUUUCCCUUUUCCCAGUCACUGGGGAAUUUUGCUCUUCUCUUAUAGUGGGAGGGAUUUUGUUCCCCCAGCCCUCACCUAGAAUUUCAAGGUCUUGAGAGACUGCCGCAUUAAAGUGUUAAUGCCCACGUCAGCACUACAGGUCCACUUGUGCUUAUCUGGACUUCUAUAACCAACAAUCAACAGUAGAUUACAUGGCCACACAAAUGAGAACUCUUAUGAUUACAAUUACAGUUUCACUCAUAGUGCAGAGCACCUUCAUCUAACCGCAUUCUAACGGACUUGAACAAUAACUCUUAAGGAGCUUGGCUGUGCCUAAUGAGAACUUUUAUGACUAGCUUGUAGAAUAGUGCUCUUUAUUGGAGCAACAGAUUACAGAUUCUUAUGAAUUGCUGGUGAUAAAUACACAGUAUACAGAGCAUGUGCAAAUAUCAAUAAUGUGAAUAAUAAAGUCAACUGUAAACACAUUAAACUAUGGAAUGAUUUUACAGAGAUUUCUAAGUUUCACAGGAAAAGGACUCAAUGUAACUGAGUGUGUGAAUCUUACACAAUAGAUGUCCCUAUGUAGGGAAAAGAGAGGCUAAGCCCGUUGACUGGUCCCAGAAGUCAGUGGUGUUCUCCUGUCUCAACUGCAGUGGUAUCUUCCCCAGUAUUCCUUCUUUUUUUUUAAGCCAGUUUUAUACAAUUUUCUUACUUUCAGACAGAACUCGAGUGACUCUAAUCAUAACUAUAUUUGUUGUGACUGGUGCAAAUAAAAAUUGAAAAGCUGCUGAGUCAGGAUGACUACUAUGCAGUUUAUCAGUUCCACAAUACCACCAAGUUCCCACCCCUGUGAUCUUAUCAUGGAGCCUGACCGAGAAGUUUCACAGCUCGUUCCACCGCCUGUGCUGUAUCUCUUAGAGUCAGCAUACCAAGCUCCCCUGAUGCUUCUAACAAUCUAAAGUUUUCAGGUGUAGCAGACCAAAGAAAAAAGCCUCAUCUGUAAUAUGCCUAGAAUUGUCUCAAACACUUGCAAGAUAGGACAAUCACCAUGACAUCAAACUGAAGGCCAAAGAGUUGGUUUGGAAGGGGGAGUUCUGUGCAAACAGGAUGAGCUUGUUCCCUCCAAAACUUCCCUGUUUUGCUGCAGAAAUUUUGUCUGCAAAACUGCAACCUGAUUUUGCCAAACUGUUUUUUGCAAACUUGUUUGUUGCAAACUUACAGAUGAGCUUGAGAGAGUGAACCCUGUAAAUUUAGAAGGCAUUGAAGGAGGCCUGAGAGAACCUCUAGGGGGCUUUGAGAUUUCGAUACUUUGAAAAUUCUGGAUGAGUUCUCCCACAAACCAAGGACCACCCCUUUGGCUGGACCAGCACUGGAACCUGGACUGAAGUGUAUCUCCUUUACCAGUUUAUUUGCUAGCUGCUAAUAAAUCCAACUAGUGAAGAUCAGGUUUGUGGCCACCUGAGGAACUUGAUCACCUACAAGUCUAUGGGUCCCAAUGAGAUGCAUCCCAGAGUCCUGAGAGAAUUUGCUGAUGUAGUUGCCAAGCCACUCUUUGUGAUAUUUGAACAGUUGUGGCAAUCAGGAGAAGACCCUGGUAACUGGAAGAAAAGGCAGCAUCAUACCCAUUUUUAAUAAGGGUAAAAGGGAUGAUCCUGAGAACUACUGUCCUAUCAGUCUCACCUCUGUACCAGGAAAGAGAGCAGAUCCUCCUGGAAGCUAUACUAAGAUACAUGGAAGGCAAGGAGGUGAAGUAGGAGAACCAGCAUGGCUUCACCAGUGCCAAAUCCUGUUUGACUAACAUGGUGGCCUUUUAUGAUGGUGUCACUGCAUCUGUGUAUAAGGGAAGAGACACUGAUGUCAUCUAUCUGGUCUUCAGUAAGGCCUUUUACAUGAUACCCCCAUUACAUUCUUCUCUCCAAAUUGGAAAUAUAUGGAUUUGAUGGGUGGACUGUUCAAUGGAUGAAGAACUGGCUGCAGGAUUGAGUCCAGAGAGUUGAACUGACUAGGAAAUUAUUCCAACAACAAAGAAAUGGCAUAUUGACUUUUUUGAUGAAGAAUGCUCAUUACACUAACAGUAAGAAAAAGUCACUUUUGUACUGACACAUGAGUAUUGUUUCUUUGUGACAUGUAUUCUGAUACUUUCUUACUUAUUUGUGUGUGUCUUACUUUGGUAUCACUAAAACAAAGGAAAAUAAACAUCACUAGCUGUGUAAAGGAGGGUCAGCUGCGAUUUAGAUCGAAAGGAAGAAAAAUGUUCAGUGUAAAACUUCACUUACGUGCCCCAAACAUACCUAUGUUCAUGGUGAUUAUCUACUAGGAAAAACCACAGUGUGAUUGCCAAAUUUAC
ensembl:lncRNA